rnacentral:rRNA from 1 species
CUGUUUACCAAAAACAUCACCUCUAGCAUUUCCAGUAUUAGAGGCACUGCCUGCCCAGUGACAUCAGUUAAACGGCCGCGGUAUCCUGACCGUGCAAAGGUAGCAUAAUCAUUUGUUCCUUAAAUAGGGACUUGUAUGAAUGGCCACACGAGGGCUUUACUGUCUCUUACUUCCAAUCCGUGAAAUUGACCUUCCCGUGAAGAGGCGGGAAUAUGACAAUAAGACGAGAAGACCCUAUGGAGCUUUAAUUAACCGACCCAAAGAGAUCUUGAUAAUCAACCGACAGGGAUAACAUACCUCUACCAUGGGCCGACAAUUUAGGUUGGGGUGACCUCGGAGAAUAAAACAACCUCCGAGUGAUUUAAAUCUAGACUAACUAGUCGAAAGUACUACAUCACUUAUUGAUCCAAAAACUUGAUCAACGGAACAAGUUACCCUAGGGAUAACAGCGCAAUCCUAUUUUAGAGUCCAUAUCGACAAUAGGAUUGCGCUGU